GAGUGUGCACGCAGGUCCACAGUCGAUACGUGCCAUUAGUCCAGUACUAUUCGAAAUACAAAAUGAAAUACUUCGCUUUUCUGUUGGUUCUUGUACUGAGCCUUCUUCAAUUGUCUCAAGCAAUGAUUUGUGCUCGAGAUGGCAGAAGCGGUGGACUUCAAAACUUUAGCAGUCGAGCAGCCAUGAACGCCGAAAACAGACGAGGAGGCAGAUACACUUUCCUUCACAAUGGGGCCUGUUAAGAACAAGUGCUUCGAAUUUUGCCUUAAUUACAAAAUGGUAAUUACGACAGCCGUGUAACUAUACACAUUAAUAAAAAUUCUUAACAUA